ensembl:lncRNA
CCUAGUCUAUUACGAAAAACUUACUAAGCAAAUGUAGUUGUGAAAUCUUCAGAAGACAGUCCUUGUGACUACAGUAGUUGAAUGCAUUGCAUAGCAGAAGUAUUUAAAUGAGAAACAAGAUAAAAUUGUUUUUUUUUUCAGGCAACACUUUCCUCUAAUCUUUCCAUGGCCUUAUCACUUAUAUGAUUAGUGUGAGAACCUUAAAAAAAAACUCAUAUAAUGAUGCAAAAGCAACAAAGGAGAUCAUAGGUGGUAUUUUUCAAACUAAAUGACUAUGACCUAUUGUUUUGUUACAGGUUUUGCAUGUUCGAAAAUGGCAUUUAUCUGGCACGUGCAUUUUUGAAGACUAACUUAGGAAACUUUAUUACCCAGCAUUUGGAAGUGCGCUGUCUAUCAGACAGCGGUUAGCCUGGUGACGUGCCUGAUCACCUGCUUCAGGUCUGGUCCAUCUUACAGGACCUUUCAGAAGGCCACAGCGUGGGUGCGUUGCGGCGCAUGUUGGCAAGACGGGCAGAUGAGGUGGUUCUGCUGCUGGACCUGGAUCUUUGCACUGUACUCUGAGUUCCUCAUCAGCACAGCCCCGAUGGCACUAGGGGGUAUUGCGGUACCCAUCUGAGGGGAAAUCGGAGUUCUUUGCAGUUUAAGCCAUCUUGCUCCCUUUCACACAAAUCCUAAAGGUGUAAUAAUCCUGCUUAACGUGGUCCAACGGCUUUGUUUUUUCUGCCUCUCACAUGAAGGGUUAAAUUAUAACAUAUGACUGUCCUUUAGACUCUGUGACUACACAGAUGUUUAAUACACCCACGUAAAUUAAACUACCGAUUGCUUUCCUCACCUUUUUUUCCCUUCAAUCAUUAAUGAACAUUUUCUACAAGUAAGUUAAAACGCCCAAGCAGAUGACGAACUUUGGACAUAUUAGUUUGAAUCUGUCGUUCCAGGAGCUUUGCUCCUACACAGAUCUCGUAAAGACUGCAAGUGUACAAAAGGGUGCUUCCCAGUCUGGACCACAGGUUACAGGACAGUAGUAGAUCUAUUAUGUAGAAUAGUUCUGUGCUUUGAGGUUUUCCUCCAUAGCAGAUCAUGUACCUUCUGAUAAUAAAACAACAACAACAAAGAAAAGCCACCACUUGAAACUGGGGAAGAGAUGCCACUGCUGGACCACCUGCAGAGCAGAUCAUCUAUCUGUACACCCAUACAGCUGCGGGUGACCUAGAAUUACACAUCCUGAGAUCAUGCUGGACCAAAAUAAGCUGCUCCUCGUGUGGCUACAGCACAAUUUCAAGUGGCCUUUCCACCUCAGCUGUCAUGGAGCCCAAGGAAUGACUGAAGUAAAUGGAGACCGUGCUGGCUGGGCAGCUGUCUUCAGUCACUUCUCGCUUAGUCAACCCAGUGCGUGUGUUUGUGAAAUGCCACACUCUCCCAGGGAAAUCUCUGCCAGUACCGCACCAGCCUUACUUCUCCCAGCAUGUAAUGCAAAAUCCUCUGAUGGAGCCAAGGCCCACUGACCUCUUGGUUACGGCUAGCAUAACAGUUUGUUCCUUUUUCUUUGCAGUGACUUGUUUUAUUUUCUGGAAGAAUGUUAUGUGUCAUUCUGCUCUGCCUUCUCUUUAGGUUAAACCCCACAUCGUUUCCUCCCAUGCCCAGUUUUCUAGAGCCCUGAUGGUUCCUAUUCUUCUUGUGUUGUGGGAUGUUUUUUGUUCCUGUUUCCCCACUUGGCUGCUCCUUCUGGUGUGAAGUACACAAACAGAACAAACACAGCCUACAGUGCUGUCUCAGGAAUGAGGCUGGAGUUCAUAUCAUACACCUGUCACUCCUUCUGGCAGUGUUUCCUUAUUUUCUUGAACGCUCUGAGGUAGAUUUAGGCACCUUAGAAGGCUGCUGAAGUUCAUGGACCUUUACAAAUAAUGCAUGGGGGAGUCAGUCUGGACUGCCAAUACCACAGAGGAGUUCUGCCAUGCCUGUCACUGCUGCAGGGGCUGUGAACGUUUUAAAUUGCUUCAGAAUGUCA